GACGAACGCUGGCGGCGUGCCUAACACAUGCAAGUCGAACGGGCGAAGGGAGCUUGCUCCCUGAGCUAGUGGCGAACGGGUGAGUAACGCGUGAGAAACCUGCCUUUCAGUGGGGGACAACAGUUGGAAACGACUGCUAAUACCGCAUAAUGUUAUUUGAGGGCAUCCUCGAAUAACCAAAGAUUUAUUGCUGAAAGAUGGUCUCGCGUCUGAUUAGCUAGUUGGUGAGGUAACGGCUCACCAAGGCGACGAUCAGUAGCCGGUCUGAGAGGAUGAACGGCCACAUUGGGACUGAGAUACGGCCCAGACUCCUACGGGAGGCAGCAGUGGGGAAUAUUGGGCAAUGGGGGAAACCCUGACCCAGCAACGCCGCGUGAAGGAAGAAGGCCUCGG
rnacentral:rRNA from 1 species